rnacentral:rRNA from 1 species
UACGUAGGGGGCAAGCGUUGUCCGGAAUCAUUGGGCGUAAAGCGCGUGUAGGCGGCUCGAUAAGUCUGCUGUGAAAGUCCAGGGCUCAACCCUGGGAUGCCGGUGGAUACUGUCAAGCUCGAGUCCGGAAGAGGCGAGUGGAAUUCCUGGUGUAGCGGUGAAGUGCGCAGAUAUCAGGAGGAACACCGAUGGCGAAGGCAGCUCGCUGGGACGGUACUGACGCUGAGACGCGAAAGCGUGGGGAGCAAACAGG